rnacentral:tRNA from 1 species
AAAUAAGAAGCAAAAAAUUUGCAUUUAAUUUCGACCUAAAAGAUUGAGUUUAUUACUCCUUAUUUA